rnacentral:misc_RNA from 1 species
UCUUUCGAACGUGAGGGUGUGUGAGUGGUGAUCGGGAUGNNUGUGUUGUUUGGCUCCUUCCUCAUGGUUUUGGAACUUUCAGCAGGCUAUAACCCUUGUCAUGCAUACAUCGUGCUGGGGGCCUGGUGUUCAAUGGUGGUUCCUGUGUUGCCUACCCAUUUAUCGGUAUUCGUGUGCCGCGAAGACCCUUUCCUUCCACACACCCCCCUUGUGGUGGUUGAUGGGGGAUUUCUAAUUUGAUGCGUGUUUUGUGUUAGUCGUGAGUUGUAUUGGCUCAUGUGCCCACACGUGUAUAUUGUUCCCUUGGAUGCGGUGCAUGUGGUGAAUGUGGGCUUGUGUUUAUGCCUCGUUUCGUCGCUGUGAUAUUAACGGUUGCCUUUGAAAGACACUUUGCCGUANUGCCAGCCUUGCUAUCCCAUUGGUGGUUGCAAUACUUGCAUGUCGUGCAUAGUCGUUAACGGANGCUACCUGGUUGAUC